rnacentral:rRNA from 1 species
CCUACGGGUGGCAGCAGUAGGGAAUCUUCCACAAUGGGCGAAAGCCUGAUGGAGCAACGCCGCGUGGGUGAAGAAGGUCUUCGGAUCGUAAAACCCUGUUGUUAGAGAAGAAAGUGCGUGAGAGUAACUGUUCACGUUUCGACGGUAUCUAACCAGAAAGCCACGGCUAACUACGUGCCAGCAGCCGCGGUAAUCCGUAGGUGGCAAGCGUUAUCCGGAUUUAUUGGGCGUAAAGGGAACGCAGGCGGUCUUUUAAGUCUGAUGUGAAAUCCUUCGGCUUAACCGGAGUAGUGCAUUGGAAACUGGGAGACUGGAGUGCAGAAGAGGAGAGUGGAACUCCAUGUGUAGCGGUGAAAUGCGUAGAUAUAUGGAAGAACACCAGUGGCGAAAGCGGCUCUCUGGUCUGUAACUGACGCUGAGGUUCGAAAGCGUGGGUAGCAAACAGGAUUAGAUACCCCAGUAGUC